rnacentral:rRNA from 1 species
UAGGGAAUCUUCGGCAAUGGACGGAAGUCUGACCGAGCAACGCCGCGUGAGUGAAGAAGGUUUUCGGAUCGUAAAGCUCUGUUGUUAGAGAAGAACGUUGGUAGGAGUGGAAAAUCUACCAAGUGACGGUAACUAACCAGAAAGGGACGGCUAACUACGUGCCAGCAGCCGCGGUAAUACGUAGGUCCCGAGCGUUGUCCGGAUUUAUUGGGCGUAAAGCGAGCGCAGGCGGUUCUUUAAGUCUGAAGUUAAAGGCAGUGGCUUAACCAUUGUACGCUUUGGAAACUGGAGGACGUGAGUGCAGAAGGGGAGAGUGGAAUUCCAUGUGUAGCGGUGAAAUGCGUAGAUAUAUGGAGGAACGCCGGUGGCGAAAGCGGCUCUCUGGUCUGUAACUGACGCUGAGGCUCGAAAGCGUGGGGAGCAAACAGG